rnacentral:tRNA from 1 species
GGCGCUAUAGCCAAGUGGUUACGGCGACAGAUUCGAAUCAGUUCGUUUAUCUGUUCCUCUUUGAGGGCGCAGGUUCAAAUCCUGCUGGCGUCG